UACAGAGGGGCAAGCGUUGUUCGGAAUUACUGGGCGUAAAGGGCGCGUAGGCGGCCAACUAAGUCAGACGUGAAAUCCCCAGGCUCAACCUGGGAACUGCGUCUGAUACUGGAUGGCUCGAGUUCGGGAGAGGGAAGUGGAAUUCCAGGUGUAGCGGUGAAAUGCGUAGAUAUCUGGAGGAACACCGGUGGCGAAGGCGGCUUCCUGGACCGACACUGACGCUGAGGCGCGAAAGCCAGGGGAGCAAACGGG
rnacentral:rRNA from 1 species